AGCCGGGAUCAGAACCCACGACCUCCGAUUCCCAAGUCCGUGCUCUUUCCACUAAGCCCCGCUGCUUCUCUAAGAGCGCACCGACCACAUCCGACGUUCUCAGACUGGACUAAUAGUCCAUCCAUCUCCACUGUCCACCGUUCUUGAGCUGGAACAACUGUUCGCCGGCCCCAUUCACCGUUCUCAGCCUGGGCCAACGGUUUACUAACCCCGUCCACCAUGCACAAGCUGGACUGAUAGCGCACCGACCAGGCCACCGUUGUUGGGCCGGACCGACGGUGCACUGACCACGUCCCAGGUUCUCUGUCGGGGAAGCCACAGGUCAGAGCCGGGGACAGAGGAGACCAUGCAACACCUGCUCCACGCCGGAGAGAAAGAAAACGAUAUUUUCACCCGAGUUGCCCAAUACCCACUGGAAGACGAGCUGAGGCUGGGGCGAGGAGGCGGCGCCUGGCACGGGAGUCCCCGGAUCGGCCUUUCGGCUCCCUCGACUCUUUUCGCUUUUCCGCCUGCCCGCCCCACCCCAGAAAGGGGACCAACAUCAGGACCCCAUCAGCUCCGCUUCAGCGCGGGCCUCCGACCUCGGCCCUCCCGGCCCGAGAGCGGCGGAAAAUCUUCCAAGUCCGCUCUCCGCACCGCUCCUGAAACCCGGCUCCCAUAUAGGACCGGCUGGCCCCGGACCAAGACAGUCAAUCCUUGAACGCUUACUACGUGCACAGGAAUGUACUGAGCGCUCGGGUGACAGCCCGCGCUCCGGAUUUCCCGACGAGAUCCUUUCGGCUCAAGCAGAGAAGCCGUGGACGGCGGGAGGAGAAGACGGAGGACUUCUUUGGGAGAUGAAGUAACUGAGGCACCGAGAAGUGAAGCGACUCGCCC